GUUGCACUAGCUCUUCUGAUCCUCAUGUUUGCGUGACGGCUGUCCCAUGGUGUGAUUGCCACUCAACAACGCCCAACCAGCUGUUAGUUCAGAGGAAUACACUUGCCGAUACGCUCUAGUAGUACAACUCUGUUUUUUGGCCUGUUCACAAAUCUGAACAUAUUAUGUUCAUGCUUACUGUGGUGAACUGGUGAUUAGCAUACUCAUGUCUUUUCCCACGAAAAAAAGAAUACGCAUGUAUUGGGUUGUGCUCACAAUUAAGCUCUCCCCUGCGACAUGAUGAAGAUGUAUGGUUUAUGCCCUGGGGGAUGUUUCAUAAAAUGUAAUCCUCUUUAGUUCAGAUAUAUUGAUUUCAGCACCUGAUUAGGGCGAUUUACCAGUUGUAUGAAUUGUUGGCAUGCAUGAUUAGAGUAGCUGUGAGAGUCCAAAUCUGAAAUCUAGCUUGCUUUAUGACGGAAAAUUAAAUAAGUAUACUGAGAGCAAGCUUAUGACUUCUCUAGAUCAUGGAAACAUCUACUUAGCAUAAUCACCUAGUCCUUGGGGUGCUUUCGUUGGUGGUGUGGUUUGGAAGUUAUUAUCGGCAUGCGCUGCGUCGCUUGUGAGGCCUUUUCGGGCAUGUAUUGAACCUAUUUGCUUUUGUUCCCAAUCUUUAACCUCUGGAAUUUGCCGAAUUUUCUUUUUGUUUGUUAGGUUGAAGAGCUAUUGUUUCAGUUCGUCCAUGACCCUUAUGGGGUUGUGGGGGAUGUUGCACUCAGAGAACUUGUUUCUUGCAGUAGUAGGAUGAACUGGAUCAGAUAUUGGAAGUGGUACUGUCACAUAUCCUGGCAUCUGCUCAGCCUGCAGCAUGGCACAUGAGUCUUCGACAUCAUUGAGGAUUUCUGCAUCGGCAAAUUGGAAGACUGAUGUGGAAUAGGAGAGGAUGUAAAAGCUCCCAAGUGUGAACCCAUGUGCUCGUCUCUACAAUUCCUUGAAGAUGAUGAGAACGAACAAAACCAUUUCGUAAUUGUGAUGAGGACUGCUCCAGGGCCCAGCUUUGUGGUUCUGAUCACAUGUUUGACCUCCUGCUUACUCUGGUACAUGGUCUCCAUCCACCCAUCGUCAACAUAUGGCCUCGCCGGAUCGCCAGACAACACCGUCGUCUACGUCUGUCUCGCCUGACAGGCACUGUCCUCGACCUCUGCGUCACAGUUAAUUGUGUACUAGUAAUUCCUUUGGAGAACUUGUUACAGUUAUUCUAACUCCGCCAUGUAUCCAUGAACUUGUUAGAUUCUGAAUAUGUAAUUUUCCAGACAGUCGGGUAGCAUUCAAGUGCUCCGUAUGCGCCAACACUCUCAAAA